AUGUCAACUAGCCGUUGCGUUCCUUGAGAACUUAGUGGCGCAGCUAACGCAUUAAGUUGACCGCCUGCGGAGUACGGCCGCAAGGUUAUAACUCAAAUGAAUUGACGGGCGCCGGCACAAGCGGUGGAGCAUGUGGUAUAAUUCGAAGCAACGCGAAGAACCUUACCUGGCCUUGACAUGCUGAGAACUUUCCAGAGAUGGAU
rnacentral:rRNA from 1 species